GGAGUAUAUGACUUCGUUGGGUUCCAGUCUAACCCUGUUUUGGUCUCCAGUACAGUUCGUGCUUCAGAUAAAGUAUUUGAGUCUGCAAAGAAUGUCAAUGGGAAAUGCACAUUGGCAGCUUCAUUUGUGGAAUACAAUAAAUCAAUUGCCAAUGGCCUGAAAAAUAACAACAAAAUCUUCACAGGCUACCCAGUUGUUGGUUAUCAGGG